AGAGCUCACUGCCUGCUGGCGGCAGGGAGGUAGCUCUGCCGAGCUUGCUUCUUUCCCUACGGCUCUGUAUGAGGACGUGUGGAUACACGACGCUUGGGCCCGAGCAGUGAUGUCUACCGCCUUCGCUCCCCUUCUCAGAGCCAGGGGCCAUGGGUGAUUUGUGGAACCACACCUUCUCGGGUGGCCCCCUAUUUAUAGAGCUGGGAUUGUUGCCAGAGCCGAGUAGACCCUCUGUGAGAGGUCCCUGAGUGUUAGGCCACUCCUUUUACAAACUUUGGGGCACUGGAAUCCUAGAACGCCCACAGGCCGUUUUCCCCUCCUCAUGCCUAGUUCUACAGGACUCCCUCAGCCUGGGCCCUGAUAUGCCAGAGCUCUCUCACAAGACUGAGUGAGCUGCUCUUGAUUGCAAUGAGAGAAUUUGAUUGGACACCCAAGUUUCAGGGGAUUUCACACCCAGGUCUGGGUACCAAGUCUGCUCCACAGUGGAGCACAGUAUGCAUUUCAGUGAAAUCUUCCAUCUCCCUGGUUACAUUAGACAGAAGUUACCCAAUACUUGUUUCGGUGCCUCCGCCCCCCUUUCUAGAUCCUUGAAGAUCUAGGGCCUUUUAUUAGUAUAUUUUUUCUUCGAACACGACUAAGUUUCAGAAUUCUUAGCCACAUGGAUCAAAGUCCAGUCAAACCUCCUCCACACACCUUCAUCUCCUUGCUUGGAAUUGCGGUGGUUCCCACUCUUCCCAAUCACUGAAUUAUAUAAAUUACAUUUUGCUUCUUUACACUUCUAUUCAAUUUUACUAGCUCCAUUUCAAUAGAGAAACCUUACUUCCAAGUUCUGAUAUUCAUUAGUUGAGACAAAAAAGCAGACAGAAGUGAUCAAACUGGAAUCUUCAUGCCUACAGAUUCAGGAAAAAAGUGGUCUCUAGGGAAUGAAAGCUUCCUAAUAGAUCUGAAGACAGUCCAACCUGUCAACUUUCCAAAAACCUGAACAUGUGGGAUCAAGUGGUAAUGAGAUUAGUUGUUCAAUUUGACUAGUUUGCUUAAGGGAUAUCAGAAUGAAGUUUUUCAUUCUAACCAAACUCACAAAGAUGGUUAAUUCAGAGGCAAAUUUAAACAUUCAUUCAUUCAACCAAUAUUUACUGGGCACCCAAUAAGCUGAGGUAUCAUUCUAGGCACUGGAUAGUCAACAGGAGACACUUCCCAUGGAGUACACCAUAGCAGGCAAGACCCUCAGAUACACGUAUUUAACAGUACCUAAGGCCAAAGACGGAAGGGUGGUCACAAGAAUUUGAACAAGGAGAGCUACAAAAAAGACCUGUUCAAGAGGAGCAGUAGCGAACAGCUCACUUCUGGGUCAAGAUUUACUCCUGCAGUGAAAUUAAACCAGUUUCUCUGAUUUCACUAAACCAUGGAUGCUGAUGGGACAAACUUUAAAAAAUAGCAAUACACAGCAUUAGAAUCACUUCCAACAAACCCAGUACUUCCUCCAUCUGAAUUAACACGUGGCUAUGCUUGAAACAUGUAUAAUGCAGUUUUCUUUAAACAGCUUACAGUGACUACAUGGAAACACUGGUAAGGAAUGAGGGUAAAAUUCUUCUGGUUUACCAUUAACUCCUGCAUUUCCCAUUCUCAAACUUGACCUAGUAAAGAACAUGCACUAUCUCAAGUUAUUUACCAUAAACAUCAUGAAGACGACAUAGAAAACAAGAACUAAAACCAAGUUAAAUGCAUUUUAUUUUUAAAAAGUCCAUUCACAAAACUGAAUGAUUAAUUCAAGCUACGCAGCAGCUAAUGACUACUGCAUGGCAGUGAAAAUGAAGUGCACAGUGGCUCAGAUAAAGGUCCUCAUAAGGAUGGUCCUGCAAAAAAGAAAAAAGCAUAUACAUAAGCAGGUGAAAGAUUCUACAACUACACCCAUUCUCUUUACUGAGAAUCCAAUUGCUUUAAUAGCUUUUUGCCAGCUACAGUCUGUUAGAUAAUAGAACAAUAGAUCUUACUUUUUUUAGUUCCGAGGCACAGCCUGGCAUUUUACUUUAGGAAUACUAAGCACUGUUACUUUAUAAAAACCUACCUUUUAGCCAUGAGCUUGAACUGGAAUUUUGUUUAAGAGUUGCUAAGCCUGUGGUAGCACACUCCUCCCUAGAAAAGCAAACAGCCUUUAAGAACUAGCUUUUCUCAGAGACAAGGUCCAUCUCAGGCUAAGCCCUCCCACCCCCCACUAAUGGUCCGCCCACCCUCCCACCAGCAUUCUGGGGAAGAUUCUAAUAUAUUACUUUGAGCCAUUGUUUUAAGUUAAUAGGUCAAAAGAUAGGAAAUAUAGAAAUUAAAGGGUAAAAAUGUAUCACUGUAGAAGUAAUUAAAGUGCUGACUUCCUUCAGUUGGGAGCCGCCAAGAGUAGGGUGUCAACUUAAGCAAUUCAUUUCCAGAAAAACCAAGUUCAGCUUAACUGGACUAGUUUUGGCUCAAUAUAUUAAAGAAAAUAUAAGAGAAAGCUGGAUUUUAGAGAGCUAUAUGGAUGUAAGUAAAAUCUGUUCUUACCUACCAGCAUAGCAAUAAAACCUUUUCUCCUGGUUCUGACUGCUAGUCCUAAGAGUCAGGUGUGCCUUACUCUUGUCUGCCUCCUUCCUUGCGAUGGUCACUGAAACUUCACUCCCUCCUAGCUUUCGUGGAGCGUGCCGUGGCCUGCCCCUGGCUUAUCUGUACUCCACAUACCACAAGUGUCUACUCUCAGCUGUAGAGUGUCUGACCUCGGAGCCAUUCGCGCUAUACUUGCUAGCAGUUCCUAGUAGCUGAACAUCUCUCCUGGAUCUUUAAAGGCAUUGUCACGAAUCCUGAGGUAUCUGCAAACUCCCUCAAUAGUUAAGGUUCCACCUGCCAUUGCAAACUCAGCCAGUAUCAAGCCCAUGGAACUAUUACCCACACUUUCCCACCCACCUCCACCUCCCACCCAACCCCACCCAACCCCCUCCCCAAACUUCCAAGUAACACACCCAUGGGAUGGAAUACACAGUCCUAGUGAUAAACAAAUCUCUAUUCUACUAAGUACAAUGGCACUGAAAUUGAGGGUACCAAAGGGAGGGCUCAAAGGAAGCUAUGUACAAAUAACAAUGAUUGGAUAUUAAGUAAACUGUUAUAAAGGUUUAGAAGUCAUUUUCUAUACAACCAACAUUUUAGAAUGUUUGUGUCAUCUUGUGCCGUAUUUAAAGGAAAACUGCAGUUAGCAUGAAUUAAAGUAAAUAACAUGGCUCCUCACCAUACCCAAUUUUGAUCUCCAUACAGAUAAUUACUAGUGUGUCAAUCCAGAAACCUAUAUAUACCCACCCAACCGGAACAAAAACUGCAGUUUUCCUUUAAUGUAAACCUGUUUUUGUGUUAAAGAGUAAAUUCCUUACUGAUACUGGUCAGUUUAAAAAUGUCUCCCCAAAACUUCUAAUUUGUGGAUUUAUGGGGUGGCAUUAGCCAGCAUCUGGUUUCUAUUCCCUGGCAGAGUUUUGAACUUGAACUGUGAUAGAAGCAUUCAACAUUAUCAGGGGUAGUGGGUAGGGAAGGCCCAAAGCUCUGCCAGUCCCAAAUCCAUACAGUUGUCAUUCCAUUCAAGAGGGUAUUAAAUUGUUUAUUUAUUACACAUGAUAAUGGAUGAUACACAAGCUUCAUUCCCAUCUAUAUCUGGUACCAUAAUCCAAUUUAGAUAUAUUGCAUAGGAUGUGCCAACAAUCAUAUAUUAAUAAUCAAAAAACUCCAUGACUUGGCUUGGGUGACCCUUUUUCACGGUGAACUCCAAGGUCACAACGCAGUAACUGUCAGUUCAACUACACCAAGGUUUCAGAAGACAGUAGCUUCUCCACCAAAGCAGGUUGUAAAUAAAUUUUGAAUGGAACCUGGCAUCACCCUGAAGGAAUACUAACUUCACACUGUUGGGGUGGUUUACCAAAAUGGCUUCAGAGUAGACUAACUUUACACAGCACAUUUAAAAAAAAGACACAUUUAUUCAGCGUCACGAUCAGACUAUUACAUUUAGCAAUCAACAGCAUGGGUGCAAAAAAAAAAAAAAUCUACAUUAAAACCCUUUGUUGGAAUGCUUUACACUUUCCACAGAACAGAAACUAAAAUAACCUGUUAUACAAUUAGUCACAAAUACAGUCCUCGAGUUUUUUUGCCCAUACACAUG